rnacentral:lncRNA from 1 species
GAGUCAGCAGGGCUCACCACUGGGCGGCUCUUCCCGCGGGGAUGGGGAAGUUAACACCGGAAGAGAAGCGCGCCAUCUUUGGAGCGGGGGACUCCCAACACCUAUAGCGUUGGGUCUCUACAAACGUGGUUUUACAGACUGCAUACAGGGACCUUGGCAUUGAGCAGGGGUCUCUCUGGAGACAGGGAGCAGGCGUGGCUGAAUGCGGACGAAGGGGAAAUACUCGUGUACCAGGGACUGAUGCUGACCCGAGACCCAACAGGGAUUUGAACACCCCACCCAGGGAAGGAGGAAACCACAAUAUCAGAAACGUAAAUACCGGACGAGGGAGGCUGUCGGGACAAGAUUUUGGGGGGGCAGAAAUGAGGCUCACGCCUCGGUGGGGCAGCCGGGGGCUGGGCGCCGGCUCUAGAAGGUCGCGCUGCUACCUCGGGCGGCUUCUGCGAGGCUCAAACGCUCGAGCGCAGGUGACGGAGGGGCAGGCCACCAUUGGGACCUAGUUCAAGGGAGGAGACUGACGAGCCGCCAGGGGCAGCGAAGAAUCUGGCAACCCAAGACCUGGCCUGUGGAACUUGCUAACAGCGACGAUCUUCCUCCGCGAACGUUUAGAAGCUGGAAACUAAAAGCCGAUCCGGAAGCAAGCAAGGGCCCUCUAGGCCGCCUGGAGGCCGCACAUCUCGGUGGUCCCCUCCGCCGGACCCGCGUGACUCGGCGCCCAGCGCAGCACUCCUGGUUGCCGCGGCGUCUGCUGAUCUGUGGUAGAUGACACAUCCUAUAUAUUAACAUGUGUCUCUGAGACAGCAGCCUUUGGACAAAAGUGACACCCGCCUAACCAACUGCCUCUCAGCUGUCGGCCCACUUUACUGCGUGGAUCUCCCGAAGCCCCUGCUGUGCAGGUGUGGGGAGAAUGUCACUUGUUAUGUCAUCUCCAGGAGGCCCGAGCCAGGGAUCCUGCUGGAGGCCACGGUUGGCAAGGAAAACCACGGUUCCACUUACCCUUUUAGUCUUCGUCUUUCCUGGGACCUAGACCAGUGUGGGACAGACUCAUCUAACAAUGAAAAUAAAUGUGACUGUUCCCAGACAUCCUGUAUAUACAGGGUAUGUCCUGUAUUAAAUGUUUUUGUCCUGUACUGACAUGGGUAGGAUACCCAAAAUGUUCCAUAUUUAGCUUUUUCUAAUAAUUACAAAAACUCAUUAGUGUUAUGUUUCUGCCCAGCAACUGGCACUUAUAUCAUUUACAUGGUAAUAUUGCGGGGUGGGGUGAAUCAUACCUUCACAAAUAAAGAUCUGGACAAUCCCUGAUGGUCUCUCUGAAGGAAGGGGGUGGGGGAGAUGGAGGGUGAGAAUUUUAAGUUCUUAUUUUUCAUAGUCAAGAAAGGAAAUAGCUGGCACUGUGGUGUGCGCCUGAAAUCCCAGCUACCUGGGAGGUUGAGGUAGCGGGAUCGCUUGAACCCUGGAGUUUGAGACCCAUCUGGACAACCUAGCAAGGCCUCUGCUCAAAUUUUUUUAAAGGAAAAACAAAAGUGAGAAAGAAAAACAGAAAAAGCUAUUCUUUGGCCAAAAUCCCAAGUCCCAAAUUGCUGUUAAUUUACAUAACUUAAGGUCGGUCAGCACACAUGCGCUGAAAAUAAAAACAAGAAGCAAAGGCCUCACCUGGGUGCCCACCUCCUCCCCUCCAUGCCACACCUCCGUAAAUGUCAUCCUGAAAGUUAGCAAGUACUUUGCAACCUUCUGAACAUGAACCUAUCAGUGAUAAGUACCCCUCAAACCAGCCAAUCAGUGGUGGACUUACCUGCUGGACAACAACCAAUCAGCAAUUACCUCACUACAAUAACCAUGCUUCCAAAAAAUCAGUGGAUCAACAAGUAGCUUUAAUGACCUCUUGGGAGUAAUGUAGGAAGACAGGCAGGUUUCACUUACUUAUUUUUCACCUCUCUGGUAAUUCUACUGAACAUAGUUCAGGUACAUAGCUCCUACCCACCAAGCAUUUAGUGCUACAAAAGAGAAUUAGCCUCCUACCACAAAAAGCUGGAAGUGACCCUGGGUGUCUAAAUAUAUUAUUUUGUUAUAGGAAUACAACUUCUUAGAGUUUUGUCUUUCUUUUUGCUUGUUUUGUUUUUAAUUACUUUCACAUGGACUAACAACAAUAGCACAAAGAAGUCCUAUCAUGGAGACUAUUAGGAAUCUACAGUAUGACAAAUCACUCUAAAACUUUGUAGUUGAAAGCAAUACGUUACAUUUAUUAUCUCAUAAAAUGUCUGUGGAUCAACAGUUUAGGAGUGGCUCAGGCGCUGGUUUGUAAUCUCAUAUGAGAUUCCACUUAGGUGUCACCUGGGACUGCCAUGAUCUCCACCUUGAUGGAGACUGGAGGAUUUCUCCCUAAGGCAGCUCACUCACAUGACUAGCAAAUUGGUUCUGGUUAUUCUUGUGAAACUUCAGUCCUCCCCAUAGGGAGUACUCUCCCAACAUGGUAGCAGGCUUCUACCUUAGGUGAGCAAUCUAAGAGGUUGAGACUGAAGCUGUGGUGUCAUUUAUGACCUAACUUUGAAAGUCACACCCUGUCAUUCCCUCAGUAUAUAUCAUCAUAGGUCAGUCAUGAUGCAUUGUUAGGCAAGAUAAAAAAGAGUAUGAAUGCCAGGGGGGACUGUUGUGUAGGCUGACUAUGCAGAGAUUUUACUUAACAUAGAAACAGCCCUAUUUGUAAUAUCCAUAGUAUUUUCAUUAUAAAGUUUGUAUGAGCAAUUGUUUUAAAUAAAUUGGACUUCCAG